rnacentral:sRNA from 1 species
UUUAAUUACGGUUAUAGUACAACUCAGUGCAGACUUAACACCAUAAGGCUGAGAAAUCGACCCACACUGCGGUGAUUGUAGAAUGAAAUAUUCGAAGGAUACUUUGAAAUUAUUUUUAAAUCUUUUGUAGCGAUACAUAAGAUUCACGCAUCAAAGGAUGCGGCUACGGGGAGAUUGUGCUGGAGUAAUCGCAUUUAAGGUCCUGUUCUUUUCGCUCUCAUAAUAGAAAGCAUUGUGAAUAGCGAUGCCGAAUCCUUGUUAGGAUAAGACUGGUAAUCUUGUCAAACUAAGGAAAUACCAAUAAGAGAGUUGGCAAUUGAUGUGGCGUAAUCCACUAUAAGAAAAGGUCAAGGGUCAAGUAGCCGAAAUUUGCCAAGACAGUAUAUUUAAUAAAAGAUAUUAGUAAUACAGUUCUGAAUGGUCGGUGAAAGAUAGCGGGUAAUCAAUCCCCUAUGAGAUUUGGCAUACGCCGGGGUAAGAUGUUUUAGGUUCGCUACCUAAAGCACAGACUUAUCUCCUCAUUUACCUAAUAAAAUGAAGGUUAUUAUCCAGUAGGGCGAAGGUCCGUAGUAUAAUUGUAAUUA